GGCUAUUACAACAGCCGUCGUUUCUUGGAUCUCUCGUUUUACUUGGAUAACUGUGGUAAUUCUAGAGCUAAUACACGCACCAAAGCUCCGACCUCGCGGGACGAGCGCAUUUAUUAGAACAAAACCAAUCGGGCUCCGGCCCGUUCGUUGGUGACUCUGAAUAACUACGCCGAUCGCACGGUCUCGCACCGGCGACGCAUCUUUCAAGUGUCUGCCUUAUCAACUUUCGAUGGUAGUUUAUGUGCCUACCAUGGUCGUAACGGGUAACGGAGAAUAAGGGUUCGACUCCGGAGAGGGAGCCUGAGAAACGGCUACCACAUCCAAGGAAGGCAGCAGGCGCGCAAAUUACCCACUCUCGGCACGAGGAGGUAGUGACGAAAAAUAACGAGACGGAUCUCUUUGAGGCCCGUUAUCGGAAUGAGAACAAUUCAAAUCCUUUAACGAGGAUCUAGCGGAGGGCAAGUCUGGUGCCAGCAGCCGCGGUAAUUCCAGCUCCGCAGGUGUAUAUCUAUGCUGCUGCGGUUAAAAAGCUCGUAGUUGGAUCUGCGUGCUCGGAACCGGUUGGCUCACUGAGUCCGAACUGGUCUCCGGCGCUUUAUCGGCUGGUUUUCCUUUGAUGCUCUUAACCGGGUGUCUCGGGUGGCUAGCGCGUUUACUUUGAAAAAAUUAGAGUGCUCAAUACAGGCGCAAAGCCUUGAAUAGUGGUGCAUGGAAUAAUAGAAUAGGACCUCGGUUCUAUUUUGUUGGUUUUCGGAACGCGAGGUAAUGAUUAAGAGGGACAGACGGGGGCAUUCGUAUUGCGACGUUAGAGGUGAAAUUCUUGGAUCGUCGCAAGACGGACGACUGCGAAAG
rnacentral:rRNA from 1 species